GGAACAUAUCGGACUGAUGCUAUGACAAGCUGUGAGACAUGUGCCGCUGGAGGGAAACCAAACACUAACAAAACUGCCUGUGUGAGCUGUAAGGGACUGAAGGCUGAGUGGAGAACUGCGAUCAGAACAACAACACAGUUCCCAGUAGUCCCAGGAACCGUGGUGGAAGUGAAUUGUGUUGAAUCCAGAGCUCUCAAUAAAGGGAGCAGCGAGGUGACCUGCACCUCAGGAACGGAAUUUAUUUUCGAUUUUAAUGAACCCGAGUGUAUAAAUACAGGUAUAAUUGUAAAAGCGGAUAUGCUAAAUGACCAUAUCAUCACUACAAAAGGAUAACUAAACUCUUCGUACAACCAGGGCAGUAUCAGCAUAACCGACGAAAGGGGGUAAAAUAAUGUCGUAAGGGGGAGAGUUGGUUAAUGGUUAUAUUACUAUAAAAAACUGAUUUAUUUAAUCUUACAGUUGAUGGGCUAUGACAAAUAGCUCAGAUGAUACUGCAAUCUAACUUAGAUAUCUAAAUAAGAAAAUGUAUGUUUGAGUUUUCCGGGUGGAAAAGUAUGACAGCAGAAACCCAAUACC